rnacentral:lncRNA from 1 species
UUCCCCUCUGAUCUUGGCUACAUCAGUUCUAUUUGUGCACAACCUUUUCAAUGUUUUUUUUUUCAGCUUUUGUGGACUUUGUGGUUUUGGCAGAUGUGGAGGAACUGGUGCUAGGUGGGUCCUCAGGCUGCUUCCCUUAGUCAAUCAUGUGGCUCUGAAGGCAAGAUGGUUACACUCAGUCCUGGAACUCUCAAAAAUGCAAUCUGACUGAUGUUUAAAUGUUAAAAUCAAGUUUAAUGAAAUAAACAACAAGGAUUGGGUGAGGUUGGGGGGGCC